UAGGGAAUCUUCGGCAAUGGACGAAAGUCUGACCGAGCAACGCCGCGUGAGUUAAGAAGGUUUUCGGAUCGUAAAACUCUGUUGUUAGAGAAGAACAAGGACGUUAGUAACUGAACGUCCCCUGACGGUAUCUAACCAGAAAGCCACGGCUAACUACGUGCCAGCAGCCGCGGUAAUACGUAGGUGGCAAGCGUUGUCCGGAUUUAUUGGGCGUAAAGCGAGCGCAGGCGGUGUCUUAAGUCUGAUGUGAAAGCCCCCGGCUCAACCGGGGAGGGUCAUUGGAAACUGGGUGACUUGAGUGCAGAAGAGGAGAGUGGAAUUCCAUGUGUAGCGGUGAAAUGCGUAGAUAUAUGGAGGAACACCAGUGGCGAAGGCGGCUCUCUGGUCUGUAACUGACGGUGAGGAUCGAAAGCGUGGGGAGCAAACAGG
rnacentral:rRNA from 1 species